GAUGAACGCUGGCGGCGUGCCUAAUACAUGCAAGUCGAGCGAACAGACGAGGAGCUUGCUCCUCUGAUGUUAGCGGCGGACGGGUGAGUAACACGUGGAUAACCUACCUAUAAGACUGGGAUAACUUCGGGAAACCGGAGCUAAUACCGGAUAACAUGUUGAACCGCAUGGUUCAACAGUGAAAGACGGUCUUGCUGUCACUUAUAGAUGGAUCCGCGCCGCAUUAGCUAGUUGGUAAGGUAACGGCUUACCAAGGCAACGAUGCGUAGCCGACCUGAGAGGGUGAUCGGCCACACUGGAACUGAGACACGGUCCAGACUCCUACGGGAGGCAGCAGUAGGGAAUCUUCCGCAAUGGGCGAAAGCCUGACGGAGCAACGCCGCGUGAGUGAAGAAGGUCUUCGGAUCGUAAAACUCUGUUAUUAGGGAAGAAAAAAUGUGUAAGUAACUAUGCACGUCUUGACGGUACCUAAUCAGAAAGCCACGGCUAACUACGUG
rnacentral:rRNA from 1 species